rnacentral:rRNA from 1 species
UGCCAGCAGCCGCGGUAAAACCAGCACCUCAAGUGGUCAGGAUGAUUAUUGGGCCUAAAACAUCCGUAGCUUGCUUCUUAAGUUCCCUGUGAAAUUUUGUAUCUCAAAUACGAAGCGGGCAGGGAGUACUGGGGAGCUAGAGACUGGAGGACGUAACGAGUACGAUCAAAGUAGUGGUAAAAUAUGUUAAUCUUGGUCGGACUAACAAUAGCGAAGGCACGUUACGAGGACAGUUCUGACAGUAAGGGAUGAAGGCUAGGGGCGCAAAACGGAUUAGAUA